GCACGUUUCCCGAGAUUUGACUAAAUUCUUGCUUCAUGAUAAAAUAUCCACAAAACGAGAUAUCGGAGACAGAUUGAGGGAAGGAAAGGGCCUCCGAAGUGCAUUUAGAAUCCCUGUAAGCAACUAUUAACUAUUAGAAGCCUUUGUAUUAAAAAGAAACAAAAAUCGAUUGCGAGGAUUUCAUAGAGAGAGAUUUGAUUUUUUUUGUUUUUGCCAAUCAGAAAGAUUUCAUUUGAGUGAGAACAUAACAAAUAGUAGUAAGCAAUAAAAAAAUAAAAAAAAAGACUGAAAACAAAGAAGACAGAGACAGAGACAGAGACGCAUUUGUACAUUAUAGCGUAUAAAAGCAUGGCCACAGAACAAGGGGGAACCUUGUUUUUUGCCUCUCUUUCUAACAAUUCACAGGAGGGAACUUAACUUUUCGUCUUUUUCUUUCUUCCAAUGUUUUUAAUUUCUUUUUAAUAUUUUCCCCAAGGUUCUAUAGAAAAAAUUUGCUCCUCUCUUCUUUUUUCGUUUUUGCUUUCCUUGAGAUGGCAAGAAACGGUGCCGUUACGUGGUGGAGGAGGACGGAGAAAAUUGACGGCUUCGAUCUUUCACCUACUGAUACCGAGGCAGUUCAUGUACUUGCCGUUGAUGAUAGCUACGUUGAUCGCAAAGUCAUUGAAAGGUUGCUUAGAAUUUCCUCUUGUAAAGUGACGGCAGUGGAUAGUGGAAGGAGAGCUUUGCAGUUCCUGGGAUUGGACGAGGAGAAAAAAAGUAAUGGUUUUGAUGGUUUGAAGGUUGAUCUCAUUAUCACCGAUUAUUGUAUGCCUGGAAUGACGGGUUAUGAAUUGCUUAAAAAAAUUAAGGAAUCCUCUGCUUUUAGAGAAAUCCCAGUUGUAAUCAUGUCAUCUGAGAACGUUUUAGCUCGAAUUGAUAGAUGUUUAGAGGAAGGAGCAGAGGACUUUAUAGUAAAGCCGGUGAAAUUAUCAGAUGUUAAGCGUAUAAAAGAGUGCAUGAACAGAGAGUUCAGAGUGGGAGAAGGAGAAAGAGAAAGAGAAAGAGGAAGAGGAGGAAUCAACAAGAGAAAGUUGAGAGAAAGCUGUGAGCUUUCUUCAUCAUCAUCGUCAUCUCCAUCAUCACAAUCGCCAUCCCCAUCACCGUCAAUUCUAUCAGCAUCAGCACCAUGUUCUCCCUCAUCACUCGAUUCUCCCACCAGACGUCUCAAAAUGACUAUCUCUGAAUAGAAAAAAAAAAAGAACUACAAUUAAAAGUUUUUAGAUGCCCAAGCCUAGCCCCCUCCCCUUGCAGUUCUCCGUUAAUAGUUUUUUAACGGUUUUUGUUGCGCUUUGCAAAACCAAUCCAUUUUGUCCUCUUUUGCCUAUUUUUGUACUAAUAAUUUUGUUAAAUUAUAAAGUAACAAAAUCCAAUUUCUGAUUCUAAUUAUGAUUAAAUUAUUAUUUUUGUUCGUUCACAUAUGAAGCCAGUUCAGAUAGUUUGGGUUUUGAUCUCGUUGUCUGCUAGAGAGGGCAGGGAAUAUUUGGAAUGGGAUGGAGGUGAUGCUCCCUUAUUAAGGAGCUAAGGUAGGAGUGGGGAACUGCCAGUGUUGUCUUGCUGUCUCUCCUAGAGUUGUAUUUUGCUUGCAUUUGCUUGGCUGUCAAGGGGACCUAGUCGCCGGUACUUCCUUACAAAUAUUGGGCAUAGCUGAUACCGGAAAGUAACUUUGGACCCUACAGUCGGUUGUGAGAUUUUGAUUAACACAACUACUAUAGCAUGGAGAGGGCCUGCAUUUUUUGACGGCAUGCCAUCAUUUUCUGGAUGACAGUCCUGGGUAGGCUGCCAACCUGAGUUAGAAUUCAUGAGGGUGCUAUCUGAUUUAGGAGGGAAAUGAGGGAUUACAUCUUUUUUACCUGUAUUUAUUCAUUCCGAGCAGCCGUGGGAAAAGGUGCUAUCUGCAUGUGGCAUCAGCAGACCAGUAGGUGAUUUGCAUGAGGAACUGACAUGGGAACUCGGGUGAGGCUUUCGUCACUGUUAUUUUGAG